GCAACUUGCGCCGAUGUCCUCUCUCACGCUGAAACCCUAACCUCCUCUACCUUCAUCACCUCCUUUGUGACCAAGAUUUGUCCUGUCGUCGAUCUUUCAGUAAAGAUUUUCCUGAUUUGCAAGGUGCUCUGUCUGGGUUUUCUGCGUAAAGCGUUGUCUUCAUCCUCGUGCUGUUGUCUUUAUCCUUGGGUUGUAACAAAUGCUCCUUUCCCAUAUGGCGUGCAACAGCAUCAAAUACUAGUUUCUGAUUCAGCCAAUAGAGCUUGUCAAAACCACAAUCAUGUGAUAGUUGGAAGAAUAGCUAA